rnacentral:rRNA from 1 species
UGAGUUUGAUCCAUGGCUCAGAACGAACGCUGGCGGCAGGGCUCAUACAUGCCAAGUCGCGCGGAAUUAAAGCUCCUUCGGGAGUGGUAUUAAAGCGGCGAACGGGUGAGUAACAGGUGGACAACCCUACCCUCUAGCGGGGGACAACAGCUGGAAACGGCUGCUAAUACCGCAUACGGUUUCGAGGAUCACGGUUCUUGAAAGAAAAGGCGCUUCACGGCGUCGCUGGAGGAUGGGUCCGCCCCCCAUUAGCUAGUUGGUGAGAUAACAGCUCACCAAGGCUUUGAUGGGUAGCCGAGCUGAGAGGUUGAUCGGCCACACUGGAACUGAGACACGGUCCAGACACCUACGGGUGGCAGCAGUAGGGAAUAUUACGCAAUGGGCGAAAGCCUGACGCAGCCAUGCCGCGUGAGUGACGAAGGCCUUCGGGUCGUAAAGCUCUUUUCUAAGGGAAGAACAUCUUGAACAGGAAAUGGUUCAGGUCUGACGGUACCUUAGGAAUAAGGGACGGCUAACUCCGUGCCAGCAGCCGCGGUAAUACGGAGGUCCCAAGCGUUGUUCGGAAUUACUGGGCGUAAAGGGGGCGCAGGCGGCCAGGUCAGUGGAAAGUGGAAGCCCGGGGCUCAACCUCGGAAGGCCUUUCCAUACUGCCUGGCUUGAGUAUGCGAGAGGAGAGCGGAAUUCCGGGUGUAGCGGUGAAAUGCUUAGAUAUCCGGAGGAACACCAAUGGCGAAAGCAGCUCUCUGGCGCAAUACUGACGCUGAGGCCCGAAAGCGUGGGGAGCGAACGGGAUUAGAUACCCCGGUAGUCCACGCCGUAAACGUUGUGCACUAGGUGCAGGAGGUAUCGACCCCUUCUGUGCCGCAGCUAACGCAUUAAGUGCACCGCCUGGGGAGUACGCGCGCAAGCGUGAAACUCAAAGGAAUUGACGGGGGCCCGCACAAGCGGUGGAGCAUGUGGAUUAAAUCGAGGCAACGCGAAGAACCUUACCUGGGCUUGAAAUCCCGCGCUACCUGUGGAAACACAGGGUUCUCAUCGGAGACG